CUGUGUUGUAAUGAAGUCCUUAGGACUAUAUAUAUUAAUCGACAAAGAAAGAUUUGUCAUUAAGUCCUUAAAAUUAUAUGUGACCAAAUGAUACGCUAUUAUUAAGACGAUAGUGAUAUCAAGUGUAGGUCAUUGGAUGCCAUAUGAGUUGGUUGUCCUCUUAAUAAGGAGUGUGAAGACACUGUUAUGGUAUGCAGAUGGAAUGUAGGAGUACAUUCGCAUCGAACGUGACCAUGUGUCGAACAGUCUACUGUCAAGAGUAGCUUAUGAAGGAUAUGGGUAUAAGUAUCUCUCCGACCUGAGACCACCACGGUGACUUGUAAGUAACUCACUGUACUUUAGUACCAGACUAUCUAAGUUUCUAACAUAGUAACGAAAGGAUAAUAGGUGCAGUCAAGUACUUAUCAAGUCGGUGUGUGAGUUAAGAUAGAAUUGACCCCUCUAAAUUGGUAGGAGAUAUGCAUCAGUGUAUUUUAAUUUAACAAAACCUUGGUCAGGAUAAUCCAUAAGAUGGAUUUAAAAGGUUGAAAUAUAAUUUGAUCGACUUAAUUAGGGUUGACAGUUAAACCCUAAGUCACCUUGAGCAUUUGGAUCAAAGGGAUGAAUUAUACAGUAACCAUACGCCAAUAGGUUCUAGAAGGUUGCUUUGCAAUACUUCGACCCAUCCGAUCGUCGGGUCAUCAUUGCUAGAUGGUUACAUUGAUUGGUAUAGAAAGUUGUUCCUAUACUACUGGCUUAGGUUCGAACCUAUGGGAUCACACAUAUUAGAAGAUUUGAUCAGAUCUGAUAGCUAAAGAGUCCAAUUGGAUUGUGACUCUGGUGGAGAGUCCUACUUGGACUAGGACUCUGUGGGAGAGUCCCACUGGGAUAGGGACUCUACCAUUUAGGAAGAAUUAACUAGUAAUUAGAUUACUAAUUGACUCAAUUUGAUUGAGUAAAGAGCUUUAGAAUAAGUCUAAUUGAAU
rnacentral:lncRNA from 1 species